rnacentral:rRNA from 1 species
AUUGAACGCUGGCGGCAGGCUUAACACAUGCAAGUCGAGCGGAGUGAUGGUGCUUGCACUAUCACUUAGCGGCGGACGGGUGAGUAAUGCUUAGGAAUCUGCCUAUUAGUGGGGGACAACAUCUCGAAAGGGAUGCUAAUACCGCAUACGUCCUACGGGAGAAAGCAGGGGAUCACUUGUGACCUUGCGCUAAUAGAUGAGCCUAAGUCGGAUUAGCUAGUUGGGGGGGUAAAGGCCUACCAAGGCGACGAUCUGUAGCGGGUCUGAGAGGAUGAUCCGCCACACUGGGACUGAGACACGGCCCAGACUCCUACGGGAGGCAGCAGUGGGGAAUAUUGGACAAUGGGGGGAACCCUGAUCCAGCCAUGCCGCGUGUGUGAAGAAGGCCUUAUGGUUGUAAAGCACUUUAAGCGAGGAGGAGGCUCUUUUGGUUAAUACCCAAGAUGAGUGGACGUUACUCGCAGAAUAAGCACCGGCUAACUCUGUGCCAGCAGCCGCGGUAA